CACGUAUCAGAAAGUGUGUGUUAAAUGUCUAUAUAUUUCCACCGAGCAGCAGCCCCUCCUGCCCCGCUCUCUUCCUCCCGGAUCUGCUCUUUGUCUAACAGAAUAGUUCCAGUAAGCCAUGAAAUUUAGAUCCUCCUCAAGUCAGUUGGGAAGAGCUUUAUUACCCAAAAACUGAAGCACUCCAUGUGAUUUAAACGGGUCAAGAACUGCCUCAUCUUUAUUUAGCCACUCUCUCA
rnacentral:lncRNA from 1 species